rnacentral:rRNA from 1 species
GGAGAAAAGUAGGGGAUCGCAAGACCUUGCGCUCAUUGAGCGGCCGAUGCCUGAUUAGCUAGUUGGUGAGGUAAAGGCUUACCAAGGCGACGAUCAGUAGCUGGUCUGAGAGGACGACCAGCCACACUGGGACUGAGACACGGCCCAGACUCCUACGGGAGGCAGCAGUGGGGAAUUUUGGACAAUGGGGGAAACCCUGAUCCAGCCAUGCCGUGUGAGUGAAGAAGGCCUUCGGGUUGUAAAGCUCUUUCAGCCGGAACGAAACGGUCACGGCUAAUACCUGUGACCACUGACGGUACCGGAAGAAGAAGCACCGGCUAACUACGUGCCAGCAGCCGCGGUAAUACGUAGGGUGCAAGCGUUAAUCGGAAUUACUGGGCGUAAAGCGUGCGCAGGCGGUUUUGUAAGUCAGAUGUGAAAUCCCCGGGCUUAACCUGGGAACUGCGUUUGAAACUACAAAGCUAG